rnacentral:rRNA from 1 species
GGCGGAAUCCAGAGAGCUUGCUCUCGGGUGACGAGCGGCGGACGGGUGAGUAAUGUCUGGGAAACUGCCUGAUGGAGGGGGAUAACUACUGGAAACGGUAGCUAAUAC